ACAACCGGUCUCCUAGGCCGCAGCAUAGCAACCGAACAUGGCGGCUGCGCAAGCGCGACCAGUCAGCUGCCAGGAGCAGCGGCAAAGGCAACAGGAGGCGGUCUCGCGAGAGAAGCAUUAUCAUCAGAUUGGAAAAUCUUGAUUAAUCUCCACGGCUUUGUACCAUGUUACGUAGAACCUGAUACAGCAUUAUCAGCUGUUUGUGAUUGCACUGGGAACUUCCUGUGUGAAGGUGAAGGUCGAGAUGGCCUAGAUGCUAUGGUGGCCCUGGCCUGAGGAAACUCUGCACAAAGGGUCAGAGUUACAUCAGUUGGGACCUUGAGCUCAGGCACCAGCUCCCAGGGAUAGACAAUUCUGAGCAUAACAAGAUAACCCUAAUGUCUCACCAGUCCUGCAUCCUUCAGAUUGUCUGCUUUCCCGAAACUUUCCCCAAACAACCUUUUGAUGUUAAAACCUAUAAAAUAAACACGCUGAACUAGCUCUGGGUCAGUCG